rnacentral:rRNA from 1 species
UACGGAGGGUGCGAGCGUUGUCCGGAAUCAUUGGGCGUAAAGGGCGCGUAGGUGGCGGCGUCAGCGUGCGGUGAAAGCUCGGGGCUCAACCCCGGGUCGGCCGUGCGAACUGCGUCGCUCGAGCACUGUAGAGGCAGGCGGAAUUCCGGGUGUAGCGGUGGAAUGCGUAGAGAUCCGGAAGAACACCGGUGGCGAAGGCGGCAUCCUGGACCAACACUGACGCUGAGUGAGCGAAAGCCAGGGGAGCAAACGGG